rnacentral:pre_miRNA from 1 species
AGGAACAACAGCAGUGGCGGUGGCCAGCUCUGGAGCCCUGGAUUCAGCAGUAGCUACAGAGCUCUCAGUCUGCAGGGGCCUGGAUAUUCCGGGGGCGG